GAUCCUGGCUCAGGAUGAACGCUAGCUACAGGCUUAACACAUGCAAGUCGAGGGGAAACGACAUCGAAAGCUUGCUUUUGAUGGGCGUCGACCGGCGCACGGGUGAGUAACGCGUAUCCAACCUGCCCAUCACUUGGGAAUAACCUUGCGAAAGUAAGACUAAUACCCAAUGAUAUCUCUAGAAGACAUCUGUAAGAGAUUAAAGAUUCAUCGGUGAUGGAUGGGGAUGCGU
rnacentral:rRNA from 1 species